GACGAACGCUGGCGGCGUGCCUAAUACAUGCAAGUAGAACGCUGAAGGAGGAGCUUGCUCUUCUGGAUGAGUUGCGAACGGGUGAGUAACGCGUAGGUAACCUGCCUGGUAGCGGGGGAUAACUAUUGGAAACGAUAGCUAAUACCGCAUAAGAGUAGAUGUUGCAUGACAUUUGCUUAAAAGGUGCAAUUGCAUCACUACCAGAUGGACCUGCGUUGUAUUAGCUAGUUGGUGGGGUAACGGCUCACCAAGGCGACGAUACAUAGCCGACCUGAGAGGGUGAUAGGCCACACUGGGACUGAGACACGGCCCAGACUCCUACGGGAGGCAGCAGUAGGGAAUCUUCGGCAAUGGACGGAAGUCUGACCGAGCAACGCCGCGUGAGUGAAGAAGGUUGUCGGAUCGUAAAGCUCUGUUGUAAGAGAAGAACGAGUGUGAGAGUGGAAAGUUCACACUGUGACGGUAUCCUACCAGAAAGGGACGGCUAACUACGUG
rnacentral:rRNA from 1 species